CUGAGCAUCUGGACACAAGGGGCUUACAGAGCUGGUGAUAGGACAGAGAUCCUGCAAGUACUCAGACACAACAUGCAGCAUCCGUGGAACUUCUUCUGAAAAUGCUCUCUGAAUGGAUGUUUUGGUACUGAAUCCCUCAAAAUGAUUCUAAAAGGGGCAAAAUCAGACUGCUGCUUCAGGCAACGGUAAAACUGAAUGAGGGCUUCAGUCCGUCUGCCCAUUUCAAGAAG